GAUGAAGAACGCAGCGAAAUGCGAUAAGUAAUAUGAAUUGCAGAAUUCAGUGAAUCAUCGAAUCUUUGAACGCACCUUGCGCCCUUUGGCCAUUCCGAAGGGCAUGCCUGUUUGAGUAUCAUGAACACCUCAACUCUUCAUGGUUUUCCGUGAUGAGCUUGGACUUUGGGGGUCUUGCUGGCCUAUGGUCAGCUCCUCUAAAAUAAAUCAGCUUGCCAGUGUUUGGUGGGUAUCACAGGUGUGAUAACUAUCUACGCUUGUGGUUUUCCACCAGGUAACCUUCAGCAGUGGAGGUUCGCUGGAGCUCACAGAUGUGUCUCUCCUCAGUGAGGACAGCUCUUUGAAUGUUUGAUCUCAAAUCAGGUAGGACUACCCGCUGAACUUAAGCAUAUCAAUAAGCGGAGGA
rnacentral:misc_RNA from 1 species